ACUUUAUAUUUAGUUAAUGUCUAUAUUUUAUAUUUUAAGAUAGAUGUUUAAAUCUUUACGUAUUUUUCUAUUUUUAAUGUAAAACGACAAUGUUUAAUAGAAGAACUUGGACAAAUAGUCAAACAUAUUUAUGUUUAUUGUAGUAUUUCCAUUUUUAUGUUGUAUGUUUUACAUAUAUUUAUUAUUUUCAAAAUUAUAUAUAAUGUUUUUUAUUUUUUUUUUAUAAAACGGUAAUGUUACAUUAUGGAGAUAAGCCGUCUUUUUUUUAAGUGAAAAAUAGUAAUCUUACAUAUGUUUAAUGUCACGUGUCAUCUUUCGAGAUUAUAUUAUAUAUUUACUUAUUAUUUAUUUUUCUUUAUAUUGUGUAUUUUUAUUUCUUAUACUUUCUAUUUACUAAUAAUUUUAUAUUUUAAGAUUGAUUUACAUUUUAAGAUAGAUGUUUAAAUACUAAUGUACUUUUUCCAUUUUUUUUUAAAUUGUGUAUUUCCUUUUCUUAUACUUUCUAUUUGCGUAAUAUCUAUAUUUUACAUUUUAAGAUAGAUGUUUAAAUCUUAAUAUACUUUUUUCAUUGUUUUUAAGUUGUUUAUUUCUUUUUCUUAUAUUUUCUAUUUACUUAAUAUCUAUAUUUUACAUUUUAAGACAGAUGUUUAAUAUUUAAUAUACUCUUUUCAUUUUUAAAAAAUUGUGCAUUUACUUAUUAUUGUAUAUAUGAUUCGUAUAUUUAUAUAUUUAUAAUAUUUACUUAUUAUUUUUUUAUAUAUUGAGUAUUUCUCUUUUUUAUACUUUAUAUUUAGUUAAUGUCUAUAUUUUAUAUUUUAAGAUAGAUGUUUAAAUUUUUACGUAUUUUUCUAUUUUUAAUGUAAAACGGCAAUGUUUAAUAGAAGAACUUGGACAAAUAGUCAAACAUAUUUAUGUUUAUUGUAGUAUUUCCAUUUUUAUGUUGUAUGUUUUACAUAUAAUUAUUAUUUUCGAAAUUAUAUAUAAUGUUUUUUGUUUUUUUUUUUAUAAAACGGUAGUGUUACAUUAUGGAGAUAAGCCAUCUUUUUUUUUAAGUGAAAAAUAGUAAUCUUACAUAUGUUUAAUGUAGUUUUUCAUUUUUUAAUGCUUUAUGUUUACAUAUUUUUUACAAUUUUCGAAAAUAAUUAAUAUUAAAAUGUAAAACUAUAUUUUAUGCCACGUGUCAUCUUUUGGGAGAAAUUUUUUCCGCUGAUGUGGACGUCAUAUGGAGCCUCAAAAGCUCCCUUUUAUUAGUAGAGAUUACCCUUAUUUAUUUACUUCAUUAUAACAAUUUGUUAACAUUAGUUUAAUAUUCGUUUAAUAAUAUUGAUAUUAGGCAUUUUAUUGGACAUCGAUGUUGGAUGUGUAUUGGGCUUGGUUGAUCAGUUUUAAAAUAGGGUCUAAUUCUAUAUACAACUAGGUAUCCGCUGUGGCACAAAUUUUUUUUUUUUUGAAUUAUUUACAACGAUUUUAUGAUAUAACUAUUGAUGAUUUUAUAUUCUCUUCGUGUAAAUACACAAAAUUUUAGCUUUAUGUUAAAUAUGUUUUAUAAUUUAUGUUGU
rnacentral:lncRNA from 1 species